rnacentral:rRNA from 1 species
AGAUGGCGACCGGCGCACGGUGAGUAACACGUAUCCAACCUGCCGAUAACUCGGGGAUAGCCUUUCGAAAGAAAGAUUAAUACCCGAUGGUAUAAUCAGACCGCAUGGUUUGAUUAUUAAAGAAUUUCGGUUAUCGAUGGGGAUGCGUUCCAUUAGGCAGUUGGUGAGGUAACGGCUCACCAAACCUUCGAUGGAUAGGGGUUCUGAGAGGAACGCCCCCCACAUUGGAACUGAGACACGGUCCAA